rnacentral:rRNA from 1 species
GUAGGGAAUAUUGCACAAUGGGGGAAACCCUGAUGCAGCGACGCCGCGUGAGUGAUGAAGGCCUUCGGGUCGUAAAGCUCUGUCGUAUGGGACUAACACAAUGAAGGUACCAUGCAAGAAAGGAUCGGCUAACUUCGUGCCAGCAGCCGCGGUAAGACGAGGGAUCCUAGCGUUGUUCGGAAUCAUUGGGCGUAAAGCGGGUGUAGGCGGAUUUAUAAGUCAGAUGUGAAAUCCCAGGGCUCAACCCUGGAAGUGCACUUGAUACUGUAAAUCUUGAGUGUGGUAGAGGUUACUGGAAUUGUUGGUGUAGUGGUGAAAUACGUAGAUAUCAACAGGAAUACCGGAGGCGAAGGCGAGUAACUGGGCCAACACUGACGCUGAGACCCGAAAGCGUGGGGAUCAAACAGGAUUAGAAACCCUGGUAGUCC